rfam:Candidate division WWE3 bacterium GW2011_GWB2_43_22 TV89_C0026, whole genome shotgun sequence.
UUCGCGCGUGAAAAGUAGCCAAAGACAGCAAGGACCGAAAGGUUUAAUAAUCUUGCCGAGGUAAACCUUAAUUCGUAUAUUUUGUGGUUUAUAACUCACCGUCUUUUGGUGGGUUUCUUUUUUACGGCA